rnacentral:rRNA from 1 species
AGACCUCUAAUCGGAAGACUACCC